AUUCAAUCAUUUCAGUGGCAGUUGCAGACACUACAGAUCUAAUUUGUCAGAGAAGAGCAUCCUCGUCCACCAGAGACCAGAGGCCUGCCUUGUUGCUCCUUCUGAGAGGAAGAGGAAGCGAUGACAUGCCAUCACAUCCACUUUGAGAAGGACUGCUGGGAAUCCUGGGAGACAUCUGACCUUCUGGCCUCCACAAUGGAGGAGCCAAUCACAGCUUUGCCUCUGCUGUGGUCAAAGGCAACAACCGCCCAGUGCUCCUUCCCCUCCCUGUCAUCCCAGCUCUGUAUCAGUUGUUGGGGCAACAUCAAGCAGAAACACAGCGGUCAAGAGAGGCAUCACAUUUGGCAGAACAGAGACUCCUGCCCCGGCCGAGGUAAGAGCUCCAUCCAGUCAGACUCAGCAACACCUGCUUUUCUAGGAGUUGUCAUGGAAACCUCUCAGCGUUUCCUCCUGUUCUGUCUCUCCUUAUUUUCGUCGCUCCCUGUUUUGUCUUUCAAAACUGUAAAAACUUCUCAAGUGGACAUAAAAUUCAACUUUAUCCACAGUAUUCAAGAUUUCAUCCUCUUUCUCUCUCACUUUCUCAAAUGAAUGCUUGCCUUCAUGGUU